CAUUUUGGAUGAACGGUGAUGAACUAGAUCAUAUAGCAGUGAAAGAUGGAAUGACUCUUCCAUCUCCAAGUUAUAAGGCCCCUCAAAAAUUCAAAGCCAUCUUGUCUUGAAUCAUCCAUGUCUUUGUAUCAAGCAACUCUUCCCAAGUUGAAAUAUAAACUUAAAGAAUUAUACUUGUCUGGAAGUUCAAAUUUAAUCUUUUUAAGAGUGGAGG
rnacentral:lncRNA from 1 species